UUGAACGCUGGCGGCAGGCCUAACACAUGCAAGUCGAACGGUAACAGGAAGAAGCUUGCUUCUUUGCUGACGAGUGGCGGACGGGUGAGUAAUGUCUGGGAAACUGCCUGAUGGAGGGGGAUAACUACUGGAAACGGUAGCUAAUACCGCAUAACGUCGCAAGACCAAAAAGGGGGACCUUCGGGCCUCUUGCCAUCGGAUGUGCCCAGAUGGGAUUAGCUAGUAGGUGGGGUAACGGCUCACCUAGGCGACGAUCCCUAGCUGGUCUGAGAGGAUGACCAGGCAAACUGGGAAUGAAACACGGGCCAGACUCCUAAGGGAGGAAGCAGGGGGGAAUAUUGCAAAAUGGGCGAAAGCCAGAAGAAGACAUGCAGCGUGUAUGAAGAAGGCAUUCGGGUUGUAAAGUACUUUCAGCGGGGAGGAAGGGAGUAAAGUUAAUACCUUUGCUCAUUGACGUUACCCGAAGAAGAAGCACAGGCUAGCUCCGUG
rnacentral:rRNA from 1 species